rnacentral:rRNA from 1 species
GGGAAUCUACCCUGAUCUGCGGAAUAGCUCCGGGAAACUGGAAUUAAUACCGCAUGUGCCCUGAGGGGCAAAGAUUUAUCGGUUCAGGAUGAGCCCGCGUCCGAUUAGCUAGUUGGUGGGGUAAUGGCCUACCAAGGCGACGAUCGGUAGCUGGUCUAAGAGGAUGAUCAGCCACAUUGGGACUGAGACACGGCCCAAACUCCUACGGGAGGCAGCAGUGGGGAAUAUUGGACAAUGGGCGCAAGCCUGAUCCAGCCAUGCCGCGUGAGUGAUGAAGGCCCUAGGGUUGUAAAGCUCUUUCAGUGGGGACGAUAAUGACGGUACCCACAGAAGAAGCCCCGGCUAACUUCGUGCCAGCAGCCGCGGUAAUACGAAGGGGGCUAGCGUUGUUCGGAAUUACUGGGCGUAAAGCGCACGUAGGCGGACAUUUAAGUCAGGGGUGAAAUCCCGGGGCUCAACCCCGGAACGGCCUUUGAUACUGGGUGUCUUGAGUUCGGAAGAGGUGAGUGGAAUUGCGAGU